AGAAGAAGAAGAAGAAGAAGAAGAAGAAGAAGAAGAAGAAGAAGAAGAAGAAGAAGAAGAAGAGGAAGAAGAAGAAGAAGAAGAAGAAGACAACGACGAAGACGAAGAAGCAGAAGCAGCAGCAGCUCAGUUGGUUUUUGUCCACCCCCAACAAUGUUUCUUUGAUGUCAGUGGGUAAAAAAGAAUUUCAAAGCAGGGAAAUUAUCAGAACAAUAAGUGGAGUAGAAAAUAUUUGCAUGUUUACUACAUACUAGGCAUUCUCUGUUUACAUCUCAAGAGCUGCACUGCAGUGAAGAAUUUGUGUUGACUGUACUUAAAAUAUAGUAAAUUGUCAUAGUAGAAGUUUAUAGUUCUGCUUGUUGCAGUGUCUGAUUUUAACUUUUUUUAUUCUAGGCUUCUGGUUACUCCCAUUCCCACCCUAUUCCUUAAUUUUAUUCUUUUGAAGAGUCUGCAUUUCAAGCUAUCACGUUGGAGAGAGUGAUUACAGAAAGAAGUGUUCAUUGUUUCAGAUGGAGGACCAACAAACAGAACGCUCUCCUAUCGAUGGGCACUUCAGCAAAGCUCCCAGACGCCUGACAGAGGCCAGGCCGCGAGGCCAUGCGGAGCUCUCGGGACGCCAGGCCCGGGCGGGUCAGGGAGGAGAGGCGGAGAGGCUCUUCUAGGCAAGCAUGAUACUCGGACUCCGGAACAAAGCGCCGGCCCAGGAAGACCAGGCGGCCGGGCGACGCAC
ensembl:lncRNA